rnacentral:lncRNA from 1 species
UCCCCUUCCACUCCAAUCAAAUAAGUGUUAGCGGUGCGAGUACCGUUUAUAGUGCUGUCGGUUCUUCAAGUUUCAACUGAGCAAUUAUAUCUUCUUCUUGUUCAGGUGUUUAAGCGAGAGUUCCGUGUAAGGAUGCAGGCUCAGAAACAAGUAAUACUGUUUUGGGUGCGAGUCAAGUAAACUAUACUCUACUUAUACUCGGUAUCCACUAUACUAUACGGAAACUACAGCUAAUUAAACAAAAACGACUUACUUGUUCAAUUCGGGAAUAAUUCCGUUUGGGCGAGGAAAGCCUAGUUCGUCAAUUGUUCUAGUUAGGCUAUUUUAGGCUAUUACUAUAUUUAUUCUGACUCCAUUCUAUCUUAUGCGUGCGCCCUCUGAAAGCAACAAAUAAUGACAUUUAAAGCGGGUUUGCUCUUAAGCUCCCAGCAGGACAAUAAAGAUAAUCAUUAGCCGAAGGGGAGCUGCUCCUAGGCAAUUCCAUUCUGACUUGCUUCAUUCUUUUCCUAGGGGGGUGUAAUAGACAUCUACCGGUAAAUAAGAUGUAUUCUUCUGAGAGUCCUGAAUAAACCUCCCUCUCGGCAAUCCAGUAAAGUAGUACAAUACCUCUCCUCCUUUCCCGAAGUGUUACCUCAUUCUAUCGGAUCUCACUCAUUCCUCAGUGCAAGGAAAGCCGACAAGAGAAUCUACUGUGCCAGGAAAGUCAACUUGUUCUAGUUCUGUUGGCAACAAUCGGUUCUUCAAAUGAGAGUCACGUUCUAGUUGUUGGCUUAGAGUCCCUUUCCGUUCUUGUGUUUGAUGAGCUUUCCCCGUAGAGCUCAGUUCUUGGCUUUAC